rnacentral:lncRNA from 11 species
GGAAACCCUCUCUCUCCUAAAGAGCCUGUCAGCCCUGCUAUCCUGUGUUACAACAAAUCCUGCUGAAGGGAGUGAGAGACUUCAAGCAGGCCAGCGGUGCUCAGGUUGCUGUUUCUCAGCUCUAGGAAGUCCUGAAAACCACAACCAGAGAAGGCAAAGAUGUGAGUAGUUGCAGGAAUGGACAAUACAAACGAGGUGCUCGUCUUUCACGCACAGAGGCACCAGCCCUCUUUGGCAGAGAAGUCUGAAGAACUUGUAGAUAGAACCAUAACCCCCAGGAUCCUCUCCAUGGCAUUGAACUCUGGCAGUUCAAGUGAUGUCAAACC